GUAGGCCUCAAGUGAUGU
rnacentral:rRNA from 2 species